GUGGGUAUAUCUCAGUGGUAGAGUGUGUGCUUAGCAUGCACAAGGUCAUGGGUUCAAUCCCCAGUGCUGCCA
rnacentral:tRNA from 1 species